rnacentral:rRNA from 1 species
UGGGGGAUAUUGCACAAUGGGGGGAACCCUGAUGCAGCGACGCCGCGUGAGCGAUGAAGUAUUUCGGUAUGUAAAGCUCUAUCAGCAGGGAAGAAAAUGACGGUACCUGACUAAGAAGCCCCGGCUAACUACGUGCCAGCAGCCGCGGUAAUACGUAGGGGGCAAGCGUUAUCCGGAUUUACUGGGUGUAAAGGGAGCGUAGACGGCAGUGCAAGUCUGAAGUGAAAGGCAAGGGCUCAACCCUUGGACUGCUUUGGAAACUGUGCUGCUGGAGUGUCGGAGAGGCAAGUGGAAUUCCUAGUGUAGCGGUGAAAUGCGUAGAUAUUAGGAGGAACACCAGUGGCGAAGGCGGCUUGCUGGACGAUGACUGACGUUGAGGCUCGAAAGCGUGGGGAGCAAACAGG